UGCAAGUCGAGCGGAUGACGGGAGCUUGCUCCUUGAUUCAGCGGCGGACGGGUGAGUAAUGCCUAGGAAUCUGCCUGGUAGUGGGGGACAACGUUUCGAAAGGAACGCUAAUACCGCAUACGUCCUACGGGAGAAAGCAGGGGACCUUCGGGCCUUGCGCUAUCAGAUGAGCCUAGGUCGGAUUAGCUAGUUGGUGGGGUAAUGGCUCACCAAGGCGACGAUCCGUAACUGGUCUGAGAGGAUGAUCAGUCACACUGGAACUGAGACACGGUCCAGACUCCUACGGGAGGCAGCAGUGGGGAAUAUUGGACAAUGGGCGAAAGCCUGAUCCAGCCAUGCCGCGUGUGUGAAGAAGGUCUUCGGAUUGUAAAGCACUUUAAGUUGGGAGGAAGGGCAGUAAGCUAAUACCUUGCUGUUUUGACGUUACCGACAGAAUAAGCACCGGCUAACUCUGUGCCAGCAGCCGCGGUAAUACAGAGGGUGCAAGCGUUAAUCGGAAUUACUGGGCGUAAAGCGCGCGUAGGUGGUUUGUUAAGUUGGAUGUGAAAGCCCCGGGCUCAACCUGGGAACUGCAUCCAAAACUGGCAAGCUAGAGUACGGUAGAGGGUGGUGGAAUUU
rnacentral:rRNA from 2 species